rnacentral:tRNA from 5 species
GGAGAGGUGCUCGAGUGGUUGAAGAGGCACGCCUGGAAAGCGUGUAUACCCCAAAAGGGUAUCCGGGGUUCGAAUCCCUGUCUCUCCG